UUGCCUUUGUCCUCUUAUGUCUCGGCCUGAAAGAACUGGGGCGGGGUUAUCCCCUCAGGCUCUAGUGGGUGUGGCUUAGUUUUUUAACUAUUUACUUUCUGUCCUGCCUGGAGCUCUUGAGAGAGGAUAACCCAUGAGAUGUCCCUGGCCCCAGCAACCAGAAGAAGCCUUCACGAUCAGCAGAGAAACUUCAGAGAAAGAUUCCAGGGUGAAACUGCUGAAUUAGAAUGUAUCAAGAGUUUUGAUUCUGUGUGUUCAGGCUGGAACCGACACCAGUUUCCUGUCACAUUACAGGUGUUAAUGAUUUUGCUAUCACGGUUACUACUGUUUUGAAUUGUCACUGUGCUUAUCUUGCAGACUUUAAAAAUUUACAUAAAGAUGUCAAAGACUGUA